AUUGAACGCUGGCGGCAUGCCUUACACAUGCAAGUCGAACGGUAACAGGUCUUCGGAUGCUGACGAGUGGCGAACGGGUGAGUAAUACAUCGGAACGUGCCUAGUAGUGGGGGAUAACUACUCGAAAGAGUGGCUAAUACCGCAUGAGAUCUACGGAUGAAAGCAGGGGAUCGCAAGACCUUGUGCUACUAGAGCGGCCGAUGGCAGAUUAGGUAGUUGGUGGGAUAAAAGCUUACCAAGCCGACGAUCUGUAGCUGGUCUGAGAGGACGAUCAGCCACACUGGGACUGGGACACGGCCCAGACUCCUACGGGGGGCAGCAGUGGGGAGUUUUGGACAAUGGGCGCAAGCCUGAUCCAGCAAUGCCGCGUGCAGGAUGAAGGCCUUCGGGUUGUAAACUGCUUUUGUACGGAACGAAAAGCCCUGGGUUAAUACCCUGGGGUCAUGACGGUACCGUAAGAAUAAGCACCGGCUAACUACGUGCCAGCCGCCGCAGUAAGAC
rnacentral:rRNA from 1 species